ACACACACACACACUCACACACACACACACACACGCGCACAGACACACACACACACACACACACACACACACGCACACGGAGGCACUCACACACACACACACACACACACACACACACACACACGCACACAGAGGCACACGCACACACUGGUUUUCUUUAGUCCUUCGUAUAUUUAAAACAAUGACAUCUUAUAGAGGAAAAGUAGAAUAAAACCAUCCAUCUUAAAAUAUCAACAAAUAAAAGUCUUGUUUCUGAUUUAAAAAUGAAACGAGAAUGUUUACUGUUGAUACAUAUUUUGUAUAUUUUAUAUGUGUAGAUUUUUGUGCAUAUAUACACACACGAACACGUACACAAAGAGCCCCCACCCCCACCUCAGGACACAUUUUUAGCAUCUUCUUGAUAAAGUUGUAAGUCUAAUUUCCAUUGAGCCAAAACGUUUCUGCUGUGAUGGUUUAAGGUAUUUGUGCUUAUUGAGCAUUUGGGACGUGUGAGGUUUGAACACAUGCAACAAGAAAGUGAGAACUAAAUCAACUUAAAUCAACAUCAACACUCUGCUUCACAUCCAAACCCCCCAAAUCAAUAUACGUUUGAUUAAUGAUUUCUGUUCUCUACGAAACAUAAGAAAUAUUGUUGAAUCCCCAUCAUGUUAAGCGUUUACGGUCUUAAAGGAUCUAUAUAGUGUUUCAUUUUGAAUGGCGGAACAUACAAAAAACCAUUAAAAACCGUAAAACAAACCACUAAAUAAAUUGCAAUUAGGUGUGACAAUGUAUCAAUCGAAUUACCUUAAAGUGAUUAAUAAAUAGCUAAUUAAUUCACUUUAUUCACAUUGAUGGUAUUUUAUCCCUGGGUGUUCCUGGUAUGGUCCUGGGAGCGAAGCCUCUCGGUUGAUAGCUGACCUGUGAAGGUGUUAUUUCACACACUGUACUGGAUUAAUGCAAAGCAGCAGCAGCCCCGUCUGUGCUGUGCAGCCCUGAGACCAGGGUCCUCAAACAAAGCAUCCAUUCAGCAAGCCAG
ensembl:lncRNA